AAAUACUAACAUACUUCAAUUGCAUAUUUGACAUGUAAAAAUGGUUUGUUCAAAUGAUUGUUUCUCUUCUUUUAUUCUUUAUUCAUCUUUCAGGGUUUUCUAAGUGCAUUCUCUCUAUUCCAAUUUUCAUUAAUUGUUUCUUUAUGAUAUUCAAAGCACCGGUUUUGUUUUGGGCCACCAAUAUAAAAUUUCUGGCUUUGCCCUAUUGCUUGUACAUUAAAGCAAGUUUGUUUAAGAAAUAUGUUCCCAACAUCAAUUAUAUUUAUCACUUAUAAACAAGAGAAGUUACAGAAGAAAACUGAGAAAUGUUCACAAUUUUCAUAAUUUAGGUGGUUAGAUGUUGCUUGGAGCAUGCAGCUUCAGUGGCCAAGACUUUCUUGAUGUCUGAUUGUGCAGUUGUUGAGAUUAAGGAACCUGAGCCUGUGCCUUCUGGCAACCCCAUGGAUAAUACAGGAUCCUACAACUACGUGCAGAACAUGAUUGGGCCUUUCCCUCAUUGGUUGUUGAUAUAAAUGAUGAUCUGAGCCAAAAUGAUGAGAAAGAGAUUGAUGUGGACACUAAUUUGUAUCCUGCUUGUCUAUGAUAACUUUAUGCAAAGUAGAAAAGCUUAUGAAGAAAACACCCAAAAUAAAAGCGAUCCAAAGCUUGGACCUGAUGCUUGCCAAAACCAUUGGUUAGUGAUCCUUUUUUAUAGGAAUUUGGUUGCAUUAACACCAUCUACCUUGAAGCUUUAUGGCUCUUUAGCUAGAUGCCUGUGCCACAUGAAGCUUUGGAAUUGGAGGGGCCUUAAUGAAAAAACCUUGGGGCCACUCAGAGGAUUGAUGAUUUAUCCUUCAUGGUUGCCUGCCUGCCUGCCUGCUUGGUGUCUGUGGAAUGGGAGUUCUACAUCUGCCAUUGUUAGUAAUUAGUUGGGUGUUCAAAGACACAUGCCCAGUUGAUUAUAUCUUCUUUAGGUUUUCUUCUUUUAUCUUAGGUGUCAUUUAAGAUCUGAAGUUUAUCUGCAAGUAUUAUAACAUACAUAUAUGAUCCUCCACCUCAACCUUGUUUUAUCUGAUGUGCUGAUUUGACAGAAUGUGACAAUUCACAAUUUAAUACAUUUGUAAUUAACUCGUAAGUUUGUAACAAAGAUGAAACCAAUGACUUAGUAUGAAAUAGUAUUGAGCAAUUCACCAUUAAUUGGAACAAUUUGCAUAUUUUGAUUAGUACUAGUACUAGAGCUGCUUAUUUCUUAUAACUGAUGCCCUUUGUUGAUGCGAAAGGAGCUUAAAAGGUUGGUGGCUUGUAGGAGGUUACUUACACACACUUGUCCAACUCUUGGAAAAUGCUUUCUUGUUUUUCUGCUAGCACAUGUUUCUAAACCCAUGCUUAUUUUAAUUUUUAUGUGGACAUAUUCAUCACUGAUGCUUGGACUGUAUCCAAAAUAGGAUUCAAUUAAACCAUGUCAUUUCUACUUAAACCAUCAAUUUCAGGAAUUACAGGGUCUUCCAUAGUUGCUUGAUCUUGCAGCAUAACCUCCAACUUUUAUAUGCAUAU